AGCUCCAAUAGCGUAUAUCAAAGUUGUUGCAGUUAAAAAGCUCGUAGUUGGAUCUCGGGAGCAGGCGUGCGGUCCGCCUCGCGGCGGUUUUACUGCUCGCUCCUGCCCUACUUUCUGCCGGACGUCCCCCGGUGCCCUUCGCUGGGUGCCGGGGGUGGCCGGAACGUUUACUUUGAAAAAAUUAGAGUGUUCAAAGCAGGCAUUUCGCCCUGAAUAAUGGUGCAUGGAAUAAUGGAAUAGGACCUCGGUUCUAUUUUGUUGGUUUCCGGAGCUCGAGGUAAUGAUUAAGAGGGACGGCCGGGGGCAUUUGUAUUGCGGCGUUAGAGGUGAAAUUCUUGGAUCGUCGCAAGACAAACCACAGCGAAAGCAUUUGCCAAGAAUGUUUUCA
rnacentral:rRNA from 1 species